rnacentral:rRNA from 1 species
CCCUUAGAUGUUCUGGGCCGCACGCGCGCUACACUGAUGCAUUCAACGAGUCUAAAACCUGCUCUGAUAGGGGUGGGUAAUCUUUUGAAUGUGCAUCGUGAUUGGGGUAGAUGAUUGCAAUUUUUCAUCUUCAACGAGGAAUGCCUAGUAAACGCAAGUCAUCAGCUUGCAUUGAUUACGUCCCUGCCCUUUGUACACACCGCCCGUCGCUCCUACCGAUUGAAUGAUCCGAUGAAUAUCAUGGAUUGAGGAUUAUAGCAGGUUCGCCUGUCUUGAUCUUCGAGAAGUGAAGUAAAUCUUAUCAUUUAGAGGAAGGAGAAGUCGUAACA